AUAAGACUCAUCCUCAGCGAUCAGAUUCACAUUCACAUUCAUAUCAGUGCGUUUUGCGAACCUUCCUUUAAUUCUAGGCCUCGUUUCUGCAUACGCUUUCCUUGAAGCAUAACGAAUAGUCUUCUCGAACUUUCGAUUCUUUCUCUUCUCUCUGUACCUCAAAACCCUAGCUUCCCUAUCCGCCGCCGUGAUCUGCACCGCCUCCGUCGCCGCCCUGCCGUAACAGCAGUACGAUAUCUCCGACAUCGCGUUGCCGUCCGGUACAACUCCAACCUCCAUCGACGGCGAUGAUGCCUAUAAGAAAUUCACAAUAAAAGCGCGUUUAGAUUUUAAAUCAAACAGGUUAAGUCAAUUUCUUUCUUCUCCUAUGGACAUACAAGAACAGCCCAGGUCUUGGACUAUUUUUUUCUGCAUCCUCCACUAUCUCUAUAUCUGGUUAUUGUGACUCCGAUUGAGGUUCUUGUCCCGACACUCGUCGUUCUACUUCCGAUUUUUGUUUCUUUCUUGAAAAGUCUCCCAUUUACUGGAAAAGCAAGAAACAGUAUGUGAUUUUCUCGUUCGUCCUUGACGGCAGAAUAUACGUUCGUGGCCAAUGCCACUAGUGAAGCACAAUGGCUACUAUAUUUACUCAAAGACCUUCACAUAGAUCAUCCUGCCAAGGUUACUCUACAUUGUGACAACAACUCUGCUAUAUAUAUUGUUGUUAACUCGGUGUUUCACGAGUGCACAAAACACAUAGUGAUAGAUUGUCAUGUAGAUAAAGUGAAAUCUGAAAUGUCAGUCAUGAAGACAUAUACUUAUAGGUGACAAUGUCUACCAUUGCUGAAAUUUUGAAUAAUUUUCAAAUAUAAGUCUACAAUAUACACCAAUACACCCCUCAUGCUUAUUAUUAUUGGGUUUGGUGCGUAUAUAUAAACAAUGAGUGGUCCGAUCGAGUAGGUUCAGAUACCAUCUUAAAAUUUAGGUUGGACCCUACCCAACUCCACAAAACUAGAUUAUAAGGUAAUGGGUGUCACUAUUUAUAAAUUAUAAUAGAGCUUUAUCUCUUAUCCACGUGAGAUUUGGAUUUUUCCGAUAGCUAGAAGGACUCUAUCAUUACUUGUGUCUCAUAAUGUGAUGAAAUGUGAUUAUCUAAUCUAACACAAGUGGCACGAAAAGAUUAAAUGUCUUCAUUCGUAGUCCCCAUUGUGAUUGCAGGAUUAUUGAGGAUUGCAAGGCUUUUAGUCACACGGGGGCAUAGAUCAUUAUGACUAUGUUGUGUCUACAUAUUCAUCAUCUAUGUAAAAUAAGAUCAACAAAAAGUGUGGGGUAACCUGCAGUAUUUUUCUUACGCUUAUAUUCAGUGUUACAAAAACAGAUACAGAGAUGAUUCAUUUCAACCUCUCAAAUAAGCAGCAUGAAUGCAUCAACGAAUUAAAUAUGUUUCUGACACUAUGAAUCGGUAUCACUAGAUUGGUUUUGAGAGAAUAGGUGAUUAGGAUAGUGCAAGUCCUACUGAUGCAGUCUCUUUUUUGUUUUUAAAGAAACUCUACAUAUCAUAGUAAAAAAAAAAAAUUCUAAGCGAAAAUUUAAAAUGUAUAAUUUUUUUUCUUACUGAUCUUAGUCUGUCUUUCUCCUUUCAAUAAAUUGUCACAUGAUAAUAUCUAAGUAUAACAGCGGCCCAACCACAUGAAAACAUUAUAUCCAUGUUCUGUUUGUAUUGUAUCCCCACUAUAUGCUCCAUAUGCAUAUGCGGCAAGUAGCAUUCCAACUCCUAAUAUUUGAUGGAGCAAGAGAGAUGAAUUAUGUAGAUAUGAAUAUGAGUAUGAGAAUGGAGUGCUGACUUUAUUGAUGUAUGUUAGGUACGAGAAGAAAUGGGGUCACUCACUAAAAGAAAACAUGUGCUCUCUAGGAUUUUUUGAGUUUCAUAUGUAGGUGUUGUUAUGAGAUGCCUAGAGAAGUUAUACGUUUAACAAGUAGGAGUGUUUGUUGUCCUUAAAUUUGUAAAGCGAUUUAGUAAUUAUCAAUGGAUAUUCUUCAUAUGGGUGUUUAAA